AAGCACUCGAACUUUAAACAACACAACCUUUAUACUGAUUUCUUUGAGCUACCAUUCCAGGCACAGCUCCAGCAGGACUGAAACCAGUCUUUCACACUGCAGGAUGGAUAUAAACAGCACUGCUGUUUCAUUGUGGCAGAGUCUCAAUGUACACUUGUACUCUUAACCUGCUGUCAUAAGGACUUAAAGCCAGAAACCUUAUUCCAGGUUAUGCUGUGAACAAAUUAUACAAAUAUAGGAGUCGACAAAGCGAGGCACUUGGGCAGAUGGAAGGUUUACACAGCAAAGAAUUAUGUGAAAAUCACCACCCGUCAAGUCUCCAGGGUUCCAGACCUUUCCUCGACAGAAGAAGAAGCAAUGUGCAGCCCACUGCUCCAUAUCUGAUGCCUUCUCUGG
rnacentral:lncRNA from 1 species